AUGAACGCUGGCGGCGUGCCUAAUCCAUGCCCGUCGAGCGAACGGACGAGAAGCUUGCUUCUCUGAUGUUAGCGGCGGACGGGUGAGUAACACGUGGAUAACCUACCUAUAAGACUGGGAUAACUUCGGGAAACCGGAGCUAAUACCGGAUGAUAUUUUGAACCGCAUGGUUCAAAAGUGAAAGACGGUCUUGCUGUCACUUAUAGAUGGAUCCGCGCUGCAUUAGCUAGUUGGUAAGGUAACGGCUUACCAAGGCAACGAUGCAUAGCCGACCUGAGAGGGUGAUCGGCCACACUGGAACUGAGACACGGUCCAGACUCCUACGGGAGGCAGCAGUAGGGAAUCUUCCGCAAUGGGCGAAAGCCUGACGGAGCAACGCCGCGUGAGUGAUGAAGGUCUUCGGAUCGUAAAACUCUGUUAUUAGGGAAGAACAUAUGUGUAAGUAACUGUGCACAUCUUGACGGUACCUAAUCAGAAAGCCACGGCUAACUACGUG
rnacentral:rRNA from 1 species